rnacentral:rRNA from 1 species
GAUGAACGCUAGCGGGAGGCCUAACACAUGCAAGCCGAGCGGUAGAGUUUCUUCGGAAACUUGAGAGCGGCGCACGGGUGCGUAACACGUGUGCAACCUCCUUUAUCUGGGGGAUAGCCUUUCGAAAGGAAGAUUAAUACCCCAUAAUAUAAUGAUUGGCAUCAAUUAUUAUUGAAAACUCCGGUGGAUAGAGAUGGGCACGCGCAAGAUUAGAUAGUUGGUGAGGUAACGGCUCACCAAGUCAAUGAUCUUUAGGGGUCCUGAGAGGGAGAUCCCCCACACUGGUACUGAGACACGGACCAGACUCCUACGGGAGGCAGCAGUGAGGAAUAUUGGACAAUGGGUGAGAGCCUGAUCCAGCCAUCACGCGUGAAGGAUGACGGUCCUAUGGAUUGUAAACUUCUUUUGUACAGGGAUAAACCUACCCUCGUGAGGGUAGCUGAAGGUACUGUACGAAUAAGCACCGGCUAACUCCGUG